AAUGUAAUGUAGGACAUAUUUUUGGAAGUUAAAAUGCACUAUUAGAGAUUACUUGCAAAAAUUUAUCUCUUUUCCUUGUGACUGGUAAUGUGAAUGAGUGAUGCUGAGAAGUUCUAAUUGCUGCUCCUAUUAUAUCACUAUGUUGCAGCUUAGAAUCAUGGACGUUUGAAAUAAUGGUUCUUCUGUCUGGUGCUUUUCCUAAUGCAAAAUUGGAAACUUCAGUUCUUUCUAUAUGCCUCAACACAUCUGGUAUACUUUGGAUGGUACCAUUUGGAGUUAGUGAUGCUGGAAGGUUAGUCUUUCAUGCUGAACAUACUAAAA